CGUUGCCGGCGGGUCUACCAUCCGAGUCGAGCGGUAGCACAGGAGAGCUUGCUCUCGGGUGACGAGCGGCGGAGGGUGAGUAAUGUCUGGGAAACUGCCUGAUGGAGGGGGAUAACUACUGGAAACGGUAGCUAAUACCGCAUAACGUCGCAAGACCAAAGUGGGGGACCUUCGGGCCUCAUGCCAUCAGAUGUGCCCAGAUGGGAUUAGCUAGUAGGUGGGGUAAUGGCUCACCUAGGCGACGAUCCCUAGCUGGUCUGAGAGGAUGACCAGCCACACUGGAACUGAGACACGGUCCAGACUCCUACGGGAGGCAGCAGUGGGGAAUAUUGCACAAUGGGCGCAAGCCUGAUGCAGCCAUGCCGCGUGUAUGAAGAAGGCCUUCGGGUUGUAAAGUACUUUCAGCGAGGAGGAAGGCGUUAAGGUUAAUAACCUUAGCGAUUGACGUUACUCGCAGAAGAAGCACCGGCUAACUCCGUGCCAGCAGCCGCGGUAAUACGGAGGGUGCAAGCGUUAAUCGGAAUUACUGGGCGUAAAGCGCACGCAGGCGGUCUGUCAAGUCGGAUGUGAAAUCCCCGGGCUCAACCUGGGAACUGCAUUCGAAACUGGCAGGCUAGAGUCUUGUAGAGGGGGGUAGAAUUCCAGUGUAGCGGUGAAAUGCGUAGAGAUCUGGAGGAAUACCGGUGGCGAAAGGCGGCCCCCUGGACAAAGACUGACGCUCAUGGUGCGAAAGCGUGGGGGAGCAAACAGGAUUAAGAAACUCGCGUGUGUAUACACACCAU
rnacentral:rRNA from 1 species